rnacentral:rRNA from 1 species
UUCUACGGCCACACCACCCGGAAAAUGCCCAAUCUCGUCUGAUCUCGGAAGCGAUCAAGGGCCGGGCCUGGUUAGUGCCUGGAUGGGAGACUGCCUGGGAAUACCAGGUGUCGUAGACU